rnacentral:rRNA from 1 species
AGAGUUUGAUCAUGGCUCAGAAUCAACGCUGGCGGCGCGCUUAACACACGCAAGUCGAACGAGAAAGGGGAGCAAUCCCUGAGUACAGUGGCGUACGGGUGAGUAACACGUGGAUGACCUACCCUCUGGUGGGGAAUAACCCUGGGAAACCGGGGCUAAUACCGCAUAAGUCCGGGAGGAGAAAGGCGCAAGUCGCCGGAGGAGGGGUCCGCGGCCGAUUAGCUUGUUGGUGGGGUAACGGCCUACCAAGGCGAAGAUCGGUAGCCGGCCUGAGAGGGCACACGGCCACACUGGCACUGAAACACGGGCCAGACUCCUACGGGAGGCAGCAGUGGGGAAUCUUGCACAAUGGGGGAAACCCUGAUGCAGCGACGCCGCGUGAGCGAUGAAGCCCUUCGGGGUGUAAAGCUCUUUCGACGGGAACGAUAAUGACGGUACCCGGAGAAGAAGCUGCGGCUAACUACGAGCCAGCAGCCGCGGUAAUACGUAGGCAGCGAGCGUUGUUCGGAGUUACUGGGCGUAAAGAGUAUGUAGGCGGUUGCGCAAGUUUGGUGUGAAAUCUCCCGGCUUAACCGGGAGGGUGCGCCGAAAACUGCGCGGCUAGAGUGCGGGAGAGGAGAGCGGAAUUCCUGGUGUAGCGGUGAAAUGCGUAGAUAUCAGGAGGAACACCGGCGGUGUAGACGGCUCUCUGGACCGCGACUGACGCUGAGAUACGAAAGCGUGGGGAGCAAACAGGAUUAGAUACCCUGGUAGUCCACGCCCUAAACGAUGCAGACUUGGUGUGGGCAGUUCAUUCUGUCCGUGCCGGAGCUAACGCGUUAAGUCUGCCGCCUGGGGAGUACGGUCGCAAGGCUGAAACUCAAAUGAAUUGACGG